AGAGUUUGAUCCUGGCUCAGGAUGAACGCUAGCGGCAGGCCUAAUACAUGCAAGUCGAACGGUGGCAGCAAUGUCAUAGUGGCGCACGGGUGCGUAACACGUAACUAACCUACCUAUAACUGGGGGAUAGCCCGCCGAAAGGCGGAUUAAUACCGCAUAAGCUUGUGAAGUGGCAUCACUUUAUUAGUAAAGAUUUAUUGGUUAUAGAUGGGGUUGCGGGUCAUUAGCUAGUUGGUAAGGUAACGGCUUACCAAGGCGACGAUGACUAGGGGAGCUGAGAGGCUGGUCCCCCACACGGGCACUGAGAUACGGGCCCGACUCCUACGGGAGGCAGCAGUAGGGAAUAUUGGGCAAUGGGCGAGAGCCUGACCCAGCCAUGCCGCGUGCAGGAUGAAGGCUUUCUGAGUCGUAAACUGCUUUUGACAGGGAAGAAUAAGGACUACGUGUAGUCUGAUGACGGUACCUGCAGAAUAAGCACCGGCUAACUCCGUGCCAGCAGCCGCGGUAAUACGGAGGGUGCGAGCGUUGUCCGGAUUUAUUGGGUUUAAAGGGUGCGUAGGCGGCCGAUUAAGUCUGGGGUGAAAGCCCGCUGCUCAACAGCGGAACUGCCCUGGAUACUGGUUGGCUUGAGAGUAGAGGAGGUCGGCGGAAUGGACAGAGUAGCGGUGAAAUGCAUAGAUACUGUCCAGAACCCCGAUUGCGAAGGCAGCUGACUACACUACAUCUGACGCUGAGGCACGAAAGCGUGGGGAGCGAACAGGAUUAGAUACCCUGGUAGUCC
rnacentral:rRNA from 1 species